rnacentral:rRNA from 1 species
UACGUAGGGACCAAGCGUUGUCCGGAAUCAUUGGGCGUAAAGCGCGCGUAGGCGGCCCGGUAAGUCCGUUGUAAAAGUCGAAGGCUCAACCUUUGAAUGCCGAUGGAUACUGCCGGGCUAGAGUCCGGAAGAGGCGAGUAGAAUUCCUGGUGUAGCGGUGGAAUGCGCAGAUAUCAGGAGGAAUACCCAUAGCGAAGGCAGCUCGCUGGGACGGUACUGACGCUGAGGCGCGAAAGCGUGGGGAGCGAACAGG